rnacentral:rRNA from 1 species
GAGAUGGAUUGGUGGCCUUCGGGAACUCUGACACAGGUGCUGCAUGGCUGUCGUUAGCUCGUGUCGUGAGAUGUUGGGUUAAGUCCGUACGAGCGCAACCCUUGUCCUUAGUUUACCAGCACGUUAUGGUGGGCACUCUAAGGAGACUGCCGGUGACAAACCGGAGGAAGGUGGGGAGUGACGUCAAGUCAUCAUGGCCCUUACGGCCUGGGCUACACACGUGCUACAAUGGUCGGUACAAAGGGUUGCCAAGCCGCGAGGUGGAGCUAAUCCCAUAAAACCGAUCGUAGUCCGGAUCGCAGUCUGCAACUCGACUGCGUGAAGUCGGAAUCGCUAGUAAUCGUGAAUCAGAAUGUCACGGUGAAUACGUUCCCGGGCCUU